rnacentral:rRNA from 1 species
UGCAAGUCGAACGAUGAACCGCUUUCGGGCGGGGAUUAGUGGCGAACGGGUGAGUAACACGUGGGCAAUCUGCCCUGCACUCUGGGACAAGCCCUGGAAACGGGGUCUAAUACCGGAUAUGACUGUCCGCCGCAUGGUGGAUGGUGUAAAGCUCCGGCGGUGCAGGAUGAGCCCGCGGCCUAUCAGCUUGUUGGUGAGGUAGUGGCUCACCAAGGCGACGACGGGUAGCCGGCCUGAGAGGGCGACCGGCCACACUGGGACUGAGACACGGCCCAGACUCCUACGGGAGGCAGCAGUGGGGAAUAUUGCACAAUGGGCGAAAGCCUGAUGCAGCGACGCCGCGUGAGGGAUGACGGCCUUCGGGUUGUAAACCUCUUUCAGCAGGGAAGAAGCGAGAGUGACGGUACCUGCAGAAGAAGCGCCGGCUAACUACGUGCCAGCAGCCGCGGUAAUACGUAGGGCGCAAGCGUUGUCCGGAAUUAUUGGGCGUAAAGAGCUCGUAGGCGGCUUGUCACGUCGGUUGUGAAAGCCCGGGGCUUAACCCCGGGUCUGCAGUCGAUACGGGCAGGCUAGAGUUCGGUAGGGGAGAUCGGAAUUCCUGGUGUAGCGGUGAAAUGCGCAGAUAUCAGGAGGAACACCGGUGGCGAAGGCGGAUCUCUGGGCCGAUACUGACGCUGAGGAGCGAAAGCGUGGGGAGCGAACAGGAUUAGAUACCCUGGUAGUCCACGCCGUAAACGGUGGGCACUAGGUGUGGGCAACAUUCCACGUUGUCCGUGCCGCAGCUAACGCAUUAAGUG